CCAGAGGGAGCCAUGGAAGCCCCCAGUCAGCUCCUCUGCCUCCUGUUACUCUGGCUCCCAGGACCACAGGAGAAAUUCUGUGCUGACACAGACUCCAGCCUCUCUGGGUUUGUCUCCAGGGGAAAGAGCCACCCUCACCUGCAAGGCCAUUCAGAGUGUUAGCAGCUACAUUGCCUGGUACCAGCAGAAGCCUGGGCAGGCUCCCAGAUGCCUCAUUUAUGGUGCAUCCAGCAGGGCUAGUAGCAUUCCAACCUGGUUCAGUGGCAGUGGAUCUGGGACAGAUUUCACUCUCACCAUCAGCAGUCUCGAGCCUGAAGAUUUUGGCACUUAUUACUGUCAGCA